UACGUAGGUGGCAAGCGUUGUCCGGAUUUACUGGGCGUAAAGAGCGCGCAGGCGGCACCUCAAGUACUCUCUGAAAUCCACCUGCUCAACGGGUGGGGUGGAGAGUAGACUGAGGAGCUAGAGAGAGGUAGAGGGGGGUAGAAUUGCUGGUGUAGCGGUGAAAUGCGUAGAUAUCGGAAGGAACAUCAGUGGCGAAAGCGGCUUCCUGGACCAGCACCGACGUUCAGGCACGAAAGCGUGGGGAGCAAACAGG
rnacentral:rRNA from 1 species